UCGGGCGCCCUGGGGUCGGGGCGGCGGGCGCCUCGGGCCGAUCCCCCCGCAGGUGUCCGGCUCUGCGGCUCCUCCCUGGGCCCGGUCUGCAGCCGCCUUGAGUCCGCUCGCGGCCCUCCUCCGUCGCUGGGCCGCAUCCGCGCGUCUUCCCAGCGGUUUGGCCGUCUUGCCCGCCCGGCCGUGGAGCGUGGAGAUCAAGGGGGCUUCCGUGGGCUCAGACGGGGGUUAAGGCCCCGGCCCUACCGGUUCCUGCUGGCCCCUAAGCUCCCUGGGCCUCAGGUGCUCUCUGGUGAAAUAGGGCCGCAGAGAGGGACUUGCAAAGGCUCGGCUCCGUCCUGGCACAGGGGAACCAAAGUUGCAUAAGCUUCAGGCCCCAUGAAAAGUGGGUCUGUCCUUGACUGAGAAAGUUCGUCACUCACAAACAUCAGUGAGAAGCUACCGAAAAAUUCUUUUCAGGAAGAAGAAAAUGAAAUCCAGAGGAAGAGGUGGGAUUCAAGAAGCAAUGAAACAAAUAACUCUUGUCAUCUCAACUGGUGCUAAUCCGUGUUAAUGCUGGUCCGCUUCCCUGAGUCAACUCAGCGGAGUGAAAACAAUGCAGUCUCUUUUGGAUGACUGUGCCCUUCCUUUUGUCAUCUUAAGGUACAGUAAAUGCUGUUGACACCACGUUGGUGCCCCUUCCAGAUGCCCUCAGCGUACCCUGGAAGUGGCCUCCGGAGAGUUCCGCACUGACCUAGGGCUCCACGUCUCUCUCGGGCUGAGGACGUUCUCUGGCUGCAGGCGUGAGCUUGGGAGUGUCAGGGAGUUUCCACACCAGGAGCAAACUCUACUAACCAGCCACAGCUUCCUUACCCGUGGGGCAGUCUGAGGCAGGUCCCACACAGUCUCUCCGAGGGUCCUGAGCAAGACUGAGCUCCAGAUGCCCAGAGUCACUCCACCUCUGCCUCAUGCACUUCCUGGGUUCCUGUCCUGAUGAAACUACUUUCAUCCCGUGCUUGUCUCUGGGUCGGCGAGGACACAGCAUUGCCACCUGUCACGGCCUAGCAGUGCAGCCAUAGCGGGGGCAGCAGACUGGGUGGAGUGUUGUUGGACCCGGGGCAUAGCUCUGGAAGACAGUGGUUUGGAAAAGAAAUUCCUGAAAUGUGUACAUUUCGAUAGAAUGAAUCUUUCUGCUCUGAGCUUCAGGAAGUUUCCAACUUGAAACGCUGGAAGAGGAAAGUCUUAAAAGUGGGGCAGUUCAUAGCCCCAUUCAGAGGGACAGGAGCAUUGAAAAACAAAAUCUUGGUUAACAGAAGUUUCAUCGGAGUGACUCAAGUAUGAAAGUAAUUCUCCAGCCAGCAUGUUGGCCAAUGUCUUUCAUAUAACCUGAGCAGCAGAGCAGGGGAGACUGUGGGAGACUCAGGCUGGGACCCAGAUUCCAGGGAACUCAGGAAACCUGCUCCUGCCGCCCACAUAAAGUCUAAACAGUCAGGACCACUUCGAGCGUCCCUGUUCUCUGACUCAUCCUACAGAGGCAGGGCUACUGGACUUAAGCCUCACCAUUACCUGAUUUGCGUCUUCCUCGUCUAGGAAGGAGAUUACUGGCCAGCCCCUCCCAGGGCCCCUGCCAAGCCCUUUCCUGGACUUGGGGUCAACUGACCAGGAGCAAACAGUCCCCAUGGGAGUCACUCCCCUUAGGCAAAGGCACUCAGCCAGGGGCUUGGCAGGUUCCCAGAUUGUAAAUCUCUGCAUUUCGCAGGAGGCUUUAGACUCGAAACCAUGAGAAUGCAAAAGGAGAGUCUUCAGAGCUCAACAGUUUGUAGACAGAUACAGAGAAAGUGGAAAAGAGAAUCCAUCUCUGGACUUGGUUGUCUGGAGAGAAGGAGGCCGACUCAUGAAGAGGUUUCCAGAAAGGACUGGAGUGCACAGAUGGUAAAGCCAUCAAGGGGCGAUGGUGCCAGAGAUCAGCACAAUGGGUGCCCUUGUGCCUUGUUUGGGGACUUUUGUGUUUAUAUGUUUGUGAUUGCUGUCCCCCAUGCAACCCCAAGCUGGGGUCUGCUAAGAAAAAUAACCUGGCUUACAACGGCAUUCUUCCAGCUCCACUUGAAAGUUUGAAAAACCCUUGGAUAGGAAAAUAACCUCAGGGAGCCAAGGCUUUCUGCACUUGGUGAAGCCCUAGACCCAAAAUACACAUAAGAACACUUCACUUUGAAAUGCCUGCAGUACUCCUAUCUGAGUCAUCUGAAAACAAAUAAAAAGAGACCUAAACAAACAAACCUAAUUGUGCACGGAAACACGGCCAGGUUUCCAGCCUGGCUUCCCCUCUGUUUUCAUUAGUCAGAAGCCAAUGUACGCAGCUUUCAUGGUAUCCAGAACAAGCAAAAUAUUAAAAACAAAUUGCCGAGGUUUCUCCCCUUCCCUCCUCCCGUCCCCGUGCACCACCCGGGCCAAGUUCCUGACUUCUCUCUUGGCUUUCAAACUUCUUUCUUCCAGUCUUGAUGGACAGCUGCCUGCUUACCAGGCUGCCCGUGGUUGACCAGCAGCCCUGGUUGACACAGGCAUUUGUGAACAUCAGCAAGUACUGGAUACUCAGACGAAAUUAAGAAAUUCAGGAAUGUUAUGGGUCUUGAGAUAUUAUUAUUGUUACCGAUAGUCAGUGCAACUGGUUUGAAAAUCAGGCCUGCCAACCCCAAUUCACUUGAUCUAGGUCUACCCAUUGCUCUCAGCCAAAACCCUACCACCUACCUUUCUUUUCCCCUCUUCUACUUAUUUCACCAUUAAGUAGGCAUUCCACUGCAGCGGACACCCCUUGUCUUAUUUCUCCAACGUUGUCAAGCUAACAGAAUUAAGUCUGAAGCUCCUGGUGGGGAGAGCUUGUAUGACAAGAAGAGCAGAGCUGAGUGUUAGAGAGGAAUAAGAACUCAUAUGACAUCAUUGAGCACCUGGAUCCAGCCAUGACUGAAGACUGACCACCCUGGACUUUUCUGUUAUAUGAACAACUAAAAUCCUUGUUUCACUUAAGCCUCUGUUAGUUGGGUUGUUGUAUCUUGCAACACAAGUGCGUGCACACACACCUCUCAAAAUGCCACCUGAAAUUAAAUCUUUGCAUC